AGAAUUUUGUGCUUGAGAAGUUAUGAGAGAUCUGCUAAAAUGGAAAUCAAUGCCUUUGAAGAGAGUACAAAUACUUAUUCUACUACUUCUUCUUUAUGGACAGCAUAUUCAAGCAGAGAGACAUUUUAAAACAUGUACCAGAGGGAUGUGCGGAGUCCUCAAAUGUUGCACGGGAUAUUAUUGCAGACACGUUGGAGUUGCUCGUCCCAGAUGUUUUGUUAUCUCCUCCUGAGUGCUGUUUAUAUUACACAUUAGCGACGCACAUCUGAAAAUUUUACUUACUGGAUAAACAAACAGAA